CCUAUGGGAGACAGCAGUGAGGAAUAUUGGUCAAUGGGCGCGAGCCUGAACCAGCCAAGUAGCGUGAAGGAUGACUGCCCUACGGGUUGUAAACUUCUUUUAUAAAGGAAUAAAGUGAGGCACGUGUGCCUUUUUGUAUGUACUUUAUGAAUAAGGAUCGGCUAACUCCGUGCCAGCAGCCGCGGUAAUACGGAGGAUCCGAGCGUUAUCCGGAUUUAUUGGGUUUAAAGGGAGCGUAGAUGGGUUGUUAAGUCAGUUGUGAAAGUUUGCGGCUCAACCGUAAAAUUGCAAUUGAUACUGGCAGUCUUGAGUACAGUUGAGGUAGGCGGAAUUCGUGGUGUAGCGGUGAAAUGCUUAGAUAUCACGAAGAACCCCGAUUGCGAAGGCAGCUUACUAAACUGUGACUGACAUUGAUGCUCGAAAGUGUGGGUAUCAAACAGGAUUAGAUACCCGGGUAGUC
rnacentral:rRNA from 1 species